CAGUCGCCGCGGUAAUACGUAGGGUGCAAGCGUUAAUCGGAAUUACUGGGCGUAAAGCGUGCGCAGGCGGUUUGUUAAGACAGAUGUGAAAUCCCCGGGCUCAACCUGGGAACUGCAUUUGUGACUGGCAGGCUAGAGUAUGGCAGAGGGGGGUGGAAUUCCGCGUGUAGCAGUGAAAUGCGUAGAUAUGCGGAGGAACACCGAUGGCGAAGGCAGCCCCCUGGGCCAAUACUGACGCUCAUGCACGAAAGCGUGGGGAGCAAACAGGAUUAGAUACCCCCGUAGUCCCUGUCUCUUAUAC
rnacentral:rRNA from 1 species